rnacentral:miRNA from 1 species
CCAAAUAUAUUUAAAUAGUACGGCCGCACGGCUAUACUAUUUAAAUAUCCGAAUAUAUUUAGAGUAUAGCCAUCCGGUCGUACUAUUUAAAUAUCCGAAU